AAACCCAUCCCACCAUAUAACCU
rnacentral:siRNA from 1 species